rnacentral:rRNA from 1 species
GUGCCUAACACAUGCAAGUCGAACGAAGCACCUUAAGAGAUUUCGUUCGGAUGAUUCUUUUGGUGACUGAGUGGCGGACGGGUGAGUAACGCGUGGGUAACCUGCCCUGUACGAGGGGGAUAACAGCCAAGAAAUGGCUGCUAAUACCGCAUAAGCGCACAGGAAGACAUCGUUUCGGUGUAGAAAAACUCCGGUGGUACAGGAUCGGGCCCGCGUCUGAUUAGCUUGGUUGGGCGGGGUAAUGGCCCACCAAGGCAACGAUCAGUAGCCGGUCUGAGAGGAUGAACGGCCACAUUGGAACUGAGACGACGGUACCAAACUCCGUACGGGGAGGCAGCAGGUGGGGAAUUAUUGCACAAUGGGGGAAACCCUGAUGCAGCAACGCCGCGUGAGUGAAGAAGUAUUUCGGUAUGUAAAGCUCUAUCAGCAGGGAAGAUAAUGACGGUACCUGACUAAGAAGCUCCGGCUAAAUACGUGCCAGCAGCCGCGGUAA